UCAGUGUUUUCGACUACGAUUCACGCUAAGAUCCUGAAACGGUGCAGAUCAAGGACGCCAAGCAGAUUAGCUCAGGGUGUGUGCCCUCUGAAACCCUGACUGAGUCUCUCUCUUCGGUAUUGGCCCUGAUGAUUAGGAGUGUUUCCUUGAUUACUUAGGCUGUUUGCUCGAGGAUGACAGUAGCUGGUGUAAUGGUGCUGAUAGUGAUCCAAUUCAUCCAUCAAAAUCUGUGGACUGCAAGCUUGCGCACUUGUCAGAUGAAGUGUUUGAUUCUCAUAUAUUAAUUGCGCCAGCUUUUGUACAAAAGUUAUUCGCAGAAGCCAGUACUGACUCUGCAAGAUGUCCAUACUUGGCAAAUCUUGAGAUUGAAAGGAGGAAAUUCUUGUUUGGAAAGGGAGAUGAUGACAAACUAAUCGAGGCUCUAAUGCAAUAUUUUUUCAGGUAUAGUACAACCUUUAUGAAUUUCUUACUUUUUUGGGCAAAUUACA